UGGGGAAUAUUGGACAAUGGGGGAAACCCUGAUCCAGCCAUGCCGCGUGAGUGAUGAAGGCCUUCGGGUUGUAAAGCUCUUUUGGCGGGGACGAUGAUGACGGUACCCGCAGAAUAAGCCCCGGCUAACUUCGUGCCAGCAGCCGCGGUAAGACGAAGGGGGCUAGCGUUGUUCGGAAUUACUGGGCGUAAAGCGAGUGUAGGUGGUUGUCAUAGUCAGGUGUGAAAGCCUUGAGCUCAACUCAAGAAAUGCACUUGAUACUAGGCGACUAGAGGACCGGAGAGGAUAGUGGAAUUCCCAGUGUAGUGGUGAAAUACGUAGAGAUUGGGAAGAACACCAGUGGCGAAGGCGGCUAUCUGGACGGUUUCUGACACUAAGACUCGAAAGCGUGGGGAGCAAACAGG
rnacentral:rRNA from 1 species